rnacentral:rRNA from 1 species
UACGUAGGGGGCAAGCGUUGUCCGGAAUCAUUGGGCGUAAAGCGCGCGUAGGCGGCCUGGUAAGUCCGCUGUGAAAGUCAAAGGCUCAACCUUUGAAUGUCAGCGGAUACUGCCAGGCUAGAGUCCGGAAGAGGCGAGUGGAAUUCCUGGUGUAGCGGUGGAAUGCGCAGAUAUCAGGAGGAACACCAACGGCGAAGGCAGCUCGCUGGGACGGUACUGACGCUGAGGCGCGAAAGCGUGGGGAGCGAACAGG